UACGGGGCAGCAGUGGGGAAUAUUGCACAAUGGGCGCAAGCCUGAUGCAGCCAUGCCGCGUGUAUGAAGAAGGCCUUCGGGUUGUAAAGUACUUUCAGCGGGGAGGAAGGCGGUGAAGUUAAUAGCUUCACCGAUUGACGUUACCCGCAGAAGAAGCACCGGCUAACUCCGUGCCAGCAGCCGCGGUAAUACGGAGGGUGCAAGCGUUAAUCGGAAUUACUGGGCGUAAAGCGCACGCAGGCGGUCUGUCAAGUCGGAUGUGAAAUCCCCGGGCUUAACCUGGGAACUGCAUUCGAAACUGGCAGGCUAGAGUCUUGUAGAGGGGGUAGAAUUCCAGGUGUAGCGGUGAAAUGCGUAGAGAUCUGGAGGAAUACCGGUGGCGAAGGCGGCCCCUGGGACAAAGCUGACGCUCAGGGUGCGAAAGCGUGGGGAGCAAACGAGGAUUAGAUACC
rnacentral:rRNA from 1 species